GAUGAACGCUGGCGGCGUGCCUAAUACAUGCAAGUCGAGCGAACAGACGAGGAGCUUGCUCCUCUGACGUUAGCGGCGGACGGGUGAGUAACACGUGGAUAACCUACCUAUAAGACUGGGAUAACUUCGGGAAACCGGAGCUAAUACCGGAUAAUAUAUUGAACCGCAUGGUUCAAUAGUGAAAGACGGUUUUGCUGUCACUUAUAGAUGGAUCCGCGCCGCAUUAGCUAGUUGGUAAGGUAACGGCUCACCAAGGCGACGAUGCGUAGCCGACCUGAGAGGGUGAUCGGCCACACUGGAACUGAGACACGGUCCAGACUCCUACGGGAGGCAGCAGUAGGGAAUCUUCCGCAAUGGGCGAAAGCCUGACGGAGCAACGCCGCGUGAGUGAUGAAGGUCUUCGGAUCGUAAAUCUCUGUUAUUAGGGAAGAACAAAUGUGUAAGUAACUAUGCACGUCUUGACGGUACCUAAUCAGAAAGCCACGGCUAACUACGUG
rnacentral:rRNA from 1 species